rnacentral:rRNA from 1 species
UAAGGAAUCUUGCACAAUGGGGGAAACCCUGAUGCAGCGAUGCCGCGUGAGUGAAGAAGGCCUUUGGGUUGUAAAACUCUUUCGUUGGGGAAGAAAAUGACUGUACCCAAAUAAGAAGGUCCGGCUAACUUCGUGCCAGCAGCCGCGGUAAUACGAAGGGACCUAGCGUAGUUCGGAAUUACUGGGCUUAAAGAGCUCGUAGGUGGUUAAAAAAGUUGAUGGUGAAAUCCCAAGGCUCAACCUUGGAACUGCCAUCAAAACUGUUUAGCUAGAGUGUGAUAGAGGAAAGUGGAAUUUCUAGUGUAGAGGUGAAAUUCGUAGAUAUUAGAAAGAACACCAAAAGCGAAGGCAACUUUCUGGAUCACUACUGACACUGAGGAGCGAAAGCAUGGGUAGCGAAGAGG